rnacentral:lncRNA from 1 species
CUGAAACGUGACUCCCUACCCCUCCCUCCAUCUUUGCUUCCUGAGGGCUCCCCCACCUGCAGUGGAUCCUGGCUCCCUGUGGGUCUUUAGUCUUUAUUAAACUGCUGGCUCUGAGGGGUUCUGCUGCCUGAGGCUAGCUUGCCCUCAGUAAGCAUGUUCUCUUUCUGAUUGUUGCUGUGUGUCAGGAGGCAGUUGGGGGUUUCUUGAAGCAAGGUUGCUAUCAGUUAGUAUUUGAAAAUAAACAGUAUAAGUUUGUACAUAGGUGGAUUAGCACUGAUACAUAUUAAUCAUAUAGGUAAAAGUUGUAUGGUAAUAGAACAUGUAGUUAAUAUUUAGGAG